GGUAACAUGGCCGAGUGGUCUAAGGCGCUGGAAUUAGGUAGUCACUGACCGAUCGGCAAUGAUCGGCCGAUCGAUCGAUCGCUUACGUAAUCCAGUCCUCCGGGGCGUGAGUUCGAACCUCACUGUUAUCA
rnacentral:tRNA from 1 species